AACGAACGCUGGCGGCAUGCCUAACACAUGCAAGUCGAACGAUACCGUCGGGUCUUUUUGCGCACCGUUGCUUAACGCCUGGCAACCUGCCCUUACGUUCGUAAUAUCUCCCCGUCUUGUGUGCUACUACCUGAUAAUGUCUUCGGUCCAAAGAAUUCUCGCUCUUGGGUGGGCCCGCGUUGGAUUAGCUAGUUGGUAGGGUAAAUGCCGACCAAGGCUGCGAUCGCUAGCUGGUCUGAGAGGAUGAUCAGCCACACUGGGACUGAGACACGGAGCAGACUCGUACGGGAGGCAGCAGUGGGGAAUAUUGGACAGUGGGCGCAAGCCUGAGACAGCGAUGCCGCGGGAGUGAUGAAGGCCUUAGGGUUGUAAAGCUCUUUUACCCGGGAUGAUAAUGACAGUACCGGGAGAAUAAGCGCCGGCUAACUCCGUG
rnacentral:rRNA from 1 species